rnacentral:rRNA from 1 species
UGGGGAAUAUUGCACAAUGGGCGCAAGCCUGAUGCAGCCAUGCCGCGUGUAUGAAGAAGGCCUUCGGGUUGUAAAGUACUUUCAGCGGGGAGGAAGGGAGUAAAGUUAAUACCUUUGCUCAUUGACGUUACACGCAGAAGAAGCACCGGCUAACUCCGUGCCAGCAGCCGCGGUAAUACGGAGGGUGCAAGCGUUAAUCGGAAUUACUGGGCGUAAGGCGCACGCAGGCGGUUUGUUAAGUCAAAUGUGAAUUCCCCAGGCACAAACUGGGAACUGCUACUGAUACUGGCAAGCUUGAGUCUCGUAGAGGGGGGUAGAAUUCCAGGUGUAGCGGUGAAAUGCGUACAGAUCUGGAGGAAUACCGGUGGAGAAGGCGUCCCCCUGGACGACGACUGACGCUCAGGUGCGAAAGCGUGGGGAGCAAACAGG